rnacentral:rRNA from 1 species
AUUGAACGCUGGUGGCAGGCCUAACACAUGCAAGUCGAGCGAGCGGCGGACGGGUGAGUAAUGUCUGGGUAACUGCCCGAUGGAGGGGGGUAACUACUGGAAACGGUAGCUAAUACCCCAUAUCGUCACAUGUUCCCAGAUGGGAUUAUCGAGUGGGUGGGUUAACGGCUCACCUGGGCGCCGAUCCCUAGCUGGUCUGAGAGGAGGACCAGCAACACUGGAACUGAGACACGGUCCAGACUCCUACGGGAGGCAGCAGUGGGGAAUAGUGCACAAUGGGGGAAAGCCUGAUGAAGCCAUGCGGCGUGUGUGAAGAAGGCCUUCGGGUGGUAAAGCACGUUCAGCGGGGAGGCGGUACCCGCAGAAGAAGCACCGGCGAACUCCGUGCCAGCAGCCGCGGUAAUUC